rnacentral:rRNA from 1 species
GAUGAACGCUGGCGGCGUGCCUAACACAUGCAAGUCGAACGGAGUCGUUUUGGAAAUCUCUUCGGAGAUGGAAUUCUCGACUUAGUGGCGGACGGGUGAGUAACGCGUGAGCAAUCUGCCUUUAAGAGGGGGAUAACAGUCGGAAACGGCUGCUAAUACCGCAUAAAGCAUUAAAUUCGCAUGUUUUUGAUGCCAAAGGAGCAAUCCGCUUUUAGAUGAGCUCGCGUCUGAUUAGCUAGUUGGCGGGGUAACGGCCCACCAAGGCGACGAUCAGUAGCCGGACUGAGAGGUUGAACGGCCACAUUGGGACUGAGACACGGCCGAGACUCCUACGGGAGGCAGCAGUGGAGAAUAUUGCGCAAUGGGGGAAACCCUGACGCAGCAACGCCGCGUGAUUGAAGAAGGCCUUCGGGUUGUAAAGAUCUUUAAUCAGGGACGAAACAAAUGACGGUACCUGAAGAAUAAGCUCCGGCUAACUACGUG